AGAGAAUAGAUACCCGGGUAGUCCACGCCCUAAACGAUGUCGACUGGUUGUUGGGGGUUUGACACUCUCAGUAAACGAAAGCUAAACGCGUGAAGUCGACCGCCUGGGGAGUACGGCCGCAAGGUUAAAACUCAAAGGAAUUGACGGGGACCCGCACAAGCGGUGGAUUAUGUGGAUUAAUUCGAUGCAACGCGAAAAACCUUACCUACCCUUGACAUGCCCGGAAGGCUGCUGAAAGGCGGCUGUGCCCGAAAGGGAACUGGAACACAGGUGCUGCAUGGCUGUCGUCAGCUCGUGUCGUGAGAUGUUGGGUUAAGUCCCGCAACGAGCGCAACCCUUGUCAUUAGUUGCUACCCGCAAGGGAGCACUCUAAUGAGACUGCCGGUGACAAACCGGAGGAAGGUGGGGAUGACGUCAAGUCCUCAUGGCCCUUAUGGGUAGGGCUUCACACGUAAUACAAUGGCGCGUACAGAGGGUUGCCAAGGAGCGAUCUGGAGCCAAUCCCGUAAAGCGCGUCGUAGUCCGGAUUGCAGUCUGCAACUCGACU
rnacentral:rRNA from 1 species